rnacentral:rRNA from 1 species
CCUACGGGAGGCAGCAGUCGAGAAUCAUUCACAAUGGGGGAAACCCUGAUGGAGCGACGCCGCGUGGGGGAAGGAAGGUCUGCGGAUUGUAAACCCCUGUCAUGUGGGAGCAAAUUAAAAAGAUAGUACCACAAGAGGAAGAGACGGCUAACUCGGUGCCAGCAGCCGCGGUAAUCCAGAGGUCUCAAGCGUUGUUCGGAAUCACUGGGCGUAAAGCGUGCGUAGGCUGUUUCGUAAGUCGUGUGUGAAAGGCGCGGGCUCAACCCGCGGACGGCACCUGAUACUGCGAGACUAGAGUAAUGGAGGGGGAACCGGAAUUCUCGGUGUCGCCGUGACAUGCGUAGAUCUCGGGAGGAACACUCGUGGCGAAGGCGGGUUCCUGGACCUUACCUGACGCUGAGGCACGAAGGCCUGGGGAGCGAACCGGAUUAGAUACCCCGGUAGUC